GUUAUAUUUCUCCCAUAAAGACUCGAUCACCGAUAAGUAUGAACAGGAUUUAUUUAAAUAACGACAUGGGAAUAUUUUGCAUGGUAAAUCUUUGGCAUGAGCCUCGUCACUGAUCCAGGGUGACGUGCGGACUCGGCGUAUCCUGCCAGGACUAGCAGGGGCGGAGCCUUCCCCUGGACAAGUAGACUGAGGCCGACCUGGUGGUGGUGGGGUGGAUGGAGUUUCAGCUCAAUUUAAUUUGCUGAAUGGAGCUGAUAUGGACCUGAAGGAUUCCUCGCGGGUCAAUGUGGAGGCUGAUAUAUUCGACGAACUACUGAGAUCUGCUAAAGUAUCUUUCAAGGUGUCCACUGAGCUCUCUGCUGAGAGCGAGGUGUCAGAUGCCUCCUUCGUCUCAGAAGAGGGGUUGUUCUCACCAUUCCAGCCUGUGAGGUCAUCUUCAUCAGUCGAGUCUGUGAACUCCACAGCUUCAACAGUGAGCCAAAAAGAAUGGAAAAAGUGACAACUGACUGAGGGACCACCUGACUGUAACAUGGCAAUAGAUAUUGACCAAGACUUCACCAAGCUCUUUGGAGAGGAUGUCUCUGGCAAGUUCAUUGCAAAAUGGGCAACUUUCUACAAGGCUAGGGUCAUCACUGUCUGCAAAAAAAAAAAAAAAAAAGUGCCCUGGCACUCAUCUGGAUGACCUUCUGUUUGCGCAUGAAGAAGCAAGUGAAUGUGGAUGGAACAGUGACUUGGCUGCUAUCCUCCUGCUCGUUCAUCUCUUGCCUCCAACCGCAAAAGGAAAAAGACACGUAAAAAUCAGUACUUCUGAAGCGUCUGACCAUGUGCUCAAAUUCAUGAAGGUUUGGACAAGCAUGGCAACCUUCCUUCACAAUGUUGAAUCCUCACAACCCUUCCUCCUCUGCAUUGGAGAAAAGAAGACGUGUAUUCAGAAAUUUUACAUCAUCCUGGACCACAAGCCCAUUCCCUGCAUGUCGCCGACUGCGGGCACCGCCCUCGGCUUAAAGAAACGUGGUGUGGCAUUGGGGUCGACUCUGAGCUUCACUGUCACUCGCUUCAGUGUGCCCUGCUCGUCCCUGAAAACGUUCCUGUACCGCUGCAGAAUGUCCUCCGAC
ensembl:lncRNA